rnacentral:rRNA from 1 species
UACGGGGGGGGCAAGCGUUGUUCGGAAUUACUGGGCGUAAAGGGCUCGUAGGCGGCCAACUAAGUCAGACGUGAAAUCCCUCGGCUUAACCGGGGAACUGUAUCUGAUACUGGAUGGCUUGAGUUCGGGAGAGGGAUGCGGAAUUCCAGGUGUAGCGGUGAAAUGCGUAGAUAUCAGGAGGAACACCUGCGGUGUAGACGGCUUUCUGGACCAUUGUUGACGCUGAGACACGAAAGCGUGGGUAGCAAACAGG